CUGGCUCAGAUUGAACGCUGGCGGCAUGCCUUACACAUGCAAGUCGAACGGCAGCGCGGGGGUAACCCUGGCGGCGAGUGGCGAACGGGUGAGUAAUACAUCGGAACGUGUCCUGUAGUGGGGGAUAGCCCGGCGAAAGCCGGAUUAAUACCGCAUACGCUCUACGGAGGAAAGGGGGGGAUCUUAGGACCUCUCGCUACAGGGGCGGCCGAUGGCAGAUUAGCUAGUUGGUGGGGUAAAGGCCUACCAAGGCGACGAUCUGUAGCUGGUCUGAGAGGACGACCAGCCACACUGGGACUGAGACACGGCCCAGACUCCUACGGGAGGCAGCAGUGGGGAAUUUUGGACAAUGGGGGAAACCCUGAUCCAGCAAUGCCGCGUGUGUGAAGAAGGCCUUCGGGUUGUAAAGCACUUUUGUCCGGAAAGAAAACAUAUGCACUAAUACUGUGUGUGGAUGACGGUACCGGAAG
rnacentral:rRNA from 1 species